UACGGGAGGCAGCAGUGGGGAAUAUUGCACAAUGGGCGAAAGCCUGAUGCAGCUAUGCCGCGUGUAUGAAGAAGGCCUUAGGGUUGUAAAGUACUUUCAUCGGGGAGAAAAACAAAACUAAUAAUUUUAUUUCUUGACGUUACCCGAAAAAGAAGCACCGGCUAACUCCGUGCCAGCAGCCGCGGUAAUACGGAGGGUGCUAGCGUUAAUCAGAAUUACUGGGCGUAAAGAGCACGUAGGUGGUUUUUUUAAGUCAGAUGUGAAAUCCCUGGGCUUAACCUAGGAACUGCAUUUUGAAACUGAAAUACUAGAGUAUCGUAGAGGGAGGUAGAAUUCUAGGUGUAGCGGUGAAAUGCGUAGAUAUCUGGAGGAAUACCUGUGGCGAAAGCGGCCUCCUAAACGAAUACUGACACUGAGGUGCGAAAGCGUGGGGAGCGAAACAGGGAUUAGAUACC
rnacentral:rRNA from 1 species